UGAGGUUUCCUGCCUUUCCUCUUCCAAUCCUUCUACAACACACCACUCAGUUUUCUAUGGAUCCCUUUUGGUGUGAUGAUCAUAUUAUAUAUGAUUAUUAUUCUUAUAAAGAAUUUCAAAUGAUGCAAGCAAUGGCACAACAUCGAGAGCGAAGGGCCCAAGAAGCAUCUGCUUCAUGUCGAUGGCAUACGUUCAUUAGACGUGAUCCCUUGGAAGGCCAUCAACACCUUUGGAAUGAUUACUUCGCUCAGCCACCAACAUAUCUGCCUAAUGCUUUUAGGAGGAGGUUCCAAAUGGGUCGUGAUCUAUUUUUACGCAUUCAUUUUGCAGUAGAAGCUUAUGAUGAUUAUUUUGUCCAAAAAAGAUAUGCUAGUGGAAGGUUUGGAUUGUCUUCCCUUCAAAAGAUGACUAAAGAAAUUCUGAUGCUUGCACAUGGGGUAAUGGUAGAUCUUAUGGACGAAUAGUUUAGAAUCAAAGAAACCACCACACGAUUGAGUUUGAAAAAAUUUGUUAAGGUUGUGCUCCUCUAUGCAACUACUCAAUCAAUGAGCAUGACUAUAUGAUGGGAUAUUAUCUUGCUAAUGGUAUAUAUCCUUUAUGGACAACAUUAGUGAAAACAAUUCCUGCACCACAAGGAAGAAAGAAACAUUUUUUUGCAGCCACCUAGGAGUUAGCAAGGAAAGAUGUGGAGCGUGCAUUUGAAGUACUUCAAGGUAGAUUUGCUAUCGUGCAUGGACCUGCUACCUACUUCGACCAAGAAGUACUAAAGGACAUUAUGUAUGCAUGCAUUAUCCUGCACAAUAUAAUUAUUGAAGAUGAACUUCAUCUAUACCUUGGUGCAGAUCAAUUCGUUUACGAACAAUGGAUGAUACUUUGCAUGAACCAAAUUCAAGAGAUCAUAUACCUGCAUUGAUAGAGUUCAUUCAGCAACAUCAUCAUCUUGGAGAUAGACAAACUCAUUCUCAACUCCAAAAUGACAUCAUCGAGCAUUUGUGGAGUUUGCCUGGCUAAAACUAAAAUCUCUACUUCGAGUUCAUCUGCUUUGUAGUUUUAUUUAUUUAUUUUUUAUUUUUAUAAGCUCAUAUGCUUUGUAGUUAUUUUGGGUUAUUUGUAAAACUUAAAAGUGUUAUCGGAGAUGUUUCUUUUAUUA